rnacentral:lncRNA from 1 species
CGAUAGUUUACUGAGAAUGAUGAUUUCCAAUUUCAUCCAUGUAUCUAAUUAAACUAAAGAGCUUCUGCACAGCAAAAGAAACUACCAUCAGAGUGAACAGGCAACCUACAAAAUGGGAGAAAAUUUUCGCAACCUACUCAUCUGACAAAUGGCUAAUAUCCACAAUCUACAAUGAACUCAAACAAAUUUACAAGAAAAAAACAAACAACCCCAUCAAAAAGUGGGUGAAGGACAUGAACAGACACUUCUCAAAAGAAGACAUUUAUGCAGCCAAAAAACACAUGAAAAAAAUGCUCAGAAAAUUUUUAAGAAGAGAUACCAAGUCUGGGGGAAAUUCUGGCAGAACCAACCUAACAGGAUUCCUGCUGAAAACAGGCGAGGGUGAUCAGCUAACAGGAGUGGGCAGAGAAAAAUUUUGAUCAGAUACUGAGGGUGAUCAGAUAUCAAGGAUGAAUAAUUCUUGCUAAACUGUGUUGGCCGUAUUAUUUGCUAAAACUGGGUUUUAGAAUGAUGUGCACAGACAGGCCCAGGAGAAAGUCCAGAAGCCUGACUAAAGUUUGGCCAAGCAAAGAACUGUUGUUAGAAUACAGUCCCACAAGAAGCCAAAUGACAAAAUAAAUAUAUAUAUAUAUAAACAACAGAAGAAGAGCUUCUGGCAAGUAAGUUUGAGAAAUAGCUGUAUAUCACAUGCACCUUUGAAAGUGUAUUUUAAAUAACAUUAUACCAAAAUUUCUUCAUUUGUUCUUUCUGUAUCUACUCUAUUAAUAUGCUGCUUUAUUCUUUUUCUCAUUUAUUAAACAUUAGGAUUUAAUAUACUAACUUCUUUUCUAUUAUUAAUAACUGAUCAUCAUGACACUCAUGAUUAAUUAAAUGUUUCAUUACAUAAGAAUGGCAUUGGGGCAAUAUGGAAAAAAGAGGUAGGUUUUAUUUAUCUAUAGAUAUUUAUUUUAUUUUAUUUUUUUUUGAGUGAAAUUCUGCUUUAUUUUAUAAUUAGAAAGGGCCAAGCUUUCUCCUGGUUCAGCAAACCUAGGGUCCAUCUGUCAGUCCUGACAUUUCUCUAGGGGAAGGUGGAAGGAGAGAAUUAGAGAUGUCUCUAGUUGCAGAAUUAUGGCCUGCAGUGGGUCAAAGGAACAUGACUAAGACCUCACAAAAGACAAGAUUCUAUCUUGUGGUGAGGGGUGUGGUUGGGGGUAGGA